rnacentral:rRNA from 1 species
AGAUUAAGUUAUUAAGGGCGCACGGUGGAUGCCUUGGCACUAGAAGCCGAUGAAGGACGUUACUAACGACGAUAUGCUUUGGGGAGCUGUAAGUAAGCUUUGAUCCAGAGAUUUCCGAAUGGGGAAACCCAGCAUGAGUUAUGUCAUGUUAUCGAUAUGUGAAUACAUAGCAUAUCAGAAGGCACACCCGGAGAACUGAAACAUCUUAGUACCCGGAGGAAGAGAAAGANUGGAAACAUAGAUUAAGUUAUUAAGGGCGCACGGUGGAUGCCUUGGCACUAGAAGCCGAUGAAGGACGUUACUAACGACGAUAUGCUUUGGGGAGCUGUAAGUAAGCUUUGAUCCAGAGAUUUCCGAAUGGGGAAACCCAGCAUGAGUUAUGUCAUGUUAUCGAUAUGUGAAUACAUAGCAUAUCAGAAGGCACACCCGGAGAACUGAAACAUCUUAGUACCCGGAGGAAGAGAAAGAAAAUUCGAUUCCCUUAGUAGCGGCGAGCGAAACGGGAAGAGCCCAAACCAACAAGCUUGCUUGUUGGGGUUGUAGGACACUCUAUACGGAGUUACAAAGGACGACAUUAGACGAAUCAUCUGGAAAGAUGAAUCAAAGAAGGUAAUAAUCCUGUAGUCGAAAAUGUUGUCUCUCUUGAGUGGAUCCUGAGUACGACGGAGCACGUGAAAUUCCGUCGGAAUCUGGGAGGACCAUCUCCUAAGGCUAAAUACUCUCUAGUGACCGAUAGUGAACCAGUACCGUGAGGGAAAGGUGAAAAGCACCCCGGAAGGGGAGUGAAAUAGAACCUGAAACCGUGUGCUUACAAGUAGUCAGAGCCCGUUAAUGGGUGAUGGCGUGCCUUUUGUAGAAUGAACCGGCGAGUUACGAUUUGAUGCAAGGUUAAGCAGUAAAUGUGGAGCCGUAGCGAAAGCGAGUCUGAAUAGGGCGUUUAGUAUUUGGUCGUAGACCCGAAACCAGGUGAUCUACCCUUGGUCAGGUUGAAGUUCAGGUAACACUGAAUGGAGGACCGAACCGACUUACGUUGAAAAGUGAGCGGAUGAACUGAGGGUAGCGGAGAAAUUCCAAUCGAACCUGGAGAUAGCUGGUUCUCUCCGAAAUAGCUUUAGGGCUAGCCUCAAGUGAUGAUUAUUGGAGGUAGAGCACUGUUUGGACGAGGGGCCCCUCUCGGGUUACCGAAUUCAGACAAACUCCGAAUGCCAAUUAAUUUAACUUGGGAGUCAGAACAUGGGUGAUAAGGUCCGUGUUCGAAAGGGAAACAGCCCAGACCACCAGCUAAGGUCCCAAAAUAUAUGUUAAGUGGAAAAGGAUGUGGCGUUGCCCAGACAACUAGGAUGUUGGCUUAGAAGCAGCCAUCAUUUAAAGAGUGCGUAAUAGCUCACUAGUCGAGUGACACUGCGCCGAAAAUGUACCGGGGCUAAACAUAUUACCGAAGCUGUGGAUUGUCCUUUGGACAAUGGUAGGAGAGCGUUCUAAGGGCGUUGAAGCAUGAUCGUAAGGACAUGUGGAGCGCUUAGAAGUGAGAAUGCCGGUGUGAGUAGCGAAAGACGGGUGAGAAUCCCGUCCACCGAUUGACUAAGGUUUCCAGAGGAAGGCUCGUCCGCUCUGGGUUAGUCGGGUCCUAAGCUGAGGCCGACAGGCGUAGGCGAUGGAUAACAGGUUGAUAUUCCUGUACCACCUAUAAUCGUUUUAAUCGAUGGGGGGACGCAGUAGGAUAGGCGAAGCGUGCGAUUGGAUUGCACGUCUAAGCAGUAAGGCUGAGUAUUAGGCAAAUCCGGUACUCGUUAAGGCUGAGCUGUGAUGGGGAGAAGACAUUGUGUCUUCGAGUCGUUGAUUUCACACUGCCGAGAAAAGCCUCUAGAUAGAAAAUAGGUGCCCGUACCGCAAACCGACACAGGUAGUCAAGAUGAGAAUUCUAAGGUGAGCGAGCGAACUCUCGUUAAGGAACUCGGCAAAAUGACCCCGUAACUUCGGGAGAAGGGGUGCUCUUUAGGGUUAACGCCCAGAAGAGCCGCAGUGAAUAGGCCCAAGCGACUGUUUAUCAAAAACACAGGUCUCUGCUAAACCGUAAGGUGAUGUAUAGGGGCUGACGCCUGCCCGGUGCUGGAAGGUUAAGAGGAGUGGUUAGCUUCUGCGAAGCUACGAAUCGAAGCCCCAGUAAACGGCGGCCGUAACUAUAACGGUCCUAAGGUAGCGAAAUUCCUUGUCGGGUAAGUUCCGACCCGCACGAAAGGCGUAACGAUUUGGGCACUGUCUCAACGAGAGACUCGGUGAAAUCAUAGUACCUGUGAAGAUGCAGGUUACCCGCGACAGGACGGAAAGACCCCGUGGAGCUUUACUGUAGCCUGAUAUUGAAAUUCGGCACAGCUUGUACAGGAUAGGUAGGAGCCUUUGAAACGUGAGCGCUAGCUUACGUGGAGGCGCUGGUGGGAUACUACCCUAGCUGUGUUGGCUUUCUAACCCGCACCACUUAUCGUGGUGGGAGACAGUGUCAGGCGGGCAGUUUGACUGGGGCGGUCGCCUCCUAAAAGGUAACGGAGGCGCUCAAAGGUUCCCUCAGAAUGGUUGGAAAUCAUUCAUAGAGUGUAAAGGCAUAAGGGAGCUUGACUGCGAGACCUACAAGUCGAGCAGGGUCGAAAGACGGACUUAGUGAUCCGGUGGUUCCGCAUGGAAGGGCCAUCGCUCAACGGAUAAAAGCUACCCCGGGGAUAACAGGCUUAUCUCCCCCAAGAGUUCACAUCGACGGGGAGGUUUGGCACCUCGAUGUCGGCUCAUCGCAUCCUGGGGCUGUAGUCGGUCCCAAGGGUUGGGCUGUUCGCCCAUUAAAGCGGUACGCGAGCUGGGUUCAGAACGUCGUGAGACAGUUCGGUCCCUAUCCGUCGUGGGCGUAGGAAAUUUGAGAGGAGCUGUCCUUAGUACGAGAGGACCGGGAUGGACAUACCUCUGGUGUACCAGUUGUCGUGCCAACGGCAUAGCUGGGUAGCUAUGUGUGGACGGGAUAAGUGCUGAAAGCAUCUAAGCAUGAAGCCCCCCUCAAGAUGAGAUUUCCCAACUUCGGUUAUAAGAUCCCUCAAAGAUGAUGAGGUUAAUAGGUUCGAGGUGGAAGCAUGGUGACAUGUGGAGCUGACGAAUACUAAUCGAUCGAAGACUUAAUCAAAA